rnacentral:misc_RNA from 1 species
GUAUUGUAUUGCGUUAAACGCAGAUGCAUUCCAUGAGACUUUGUUACAGUGUGUGUGUAAAGAUGCAGAACCACAGCAGGAGGACAAGGCCCCCCAACCACAGAACUACAGAGGGUGCACAGGGUGUGAGUGGAUGUGUUAACAGAGCGUGCACAUGCCCCCGUUUGAGGACCAGCAACAACUCUUGUUGACAAUUCGGUAAUGAUCCUUCCGCAGGUUCACCUACGGAAA